GAUUAAUGCAUCCUGUUUCAGGGUGUGGGGGUAGCAGAUGGUUAGCGAGUGACCUCACUGUGGAGUGUUCAGGGUGGUGGAGGGGGUGAGUGUUCAGGGCAGUGGAGGGACCGAGUGUUCAGGGAGGUGGACGGGGAGCCGAUUGACCAGCUGCUUUGUCCUGGACGGUGUUGAACUUCUCGAGAGUUGCUGGAGCUGCAGCCACCCAGGCAGUGGAGAGUGUUCCAUCACAGUCCUGGCUGGUGCCUUGGAGAUGGGGGAGAGGCCUUGGGGUGUCAGGAGGCAGGCACGGGCUGCUUCACCUGCUGAGGUGUGAAUGGAACUGAACAUUGUGCCGCCAGCAAUGAACAUCCCCACUUCUGACCUUGGGAUGGAAGGAAGGUCACUGAUGAAGCAGCUGAAGGUGGUUGGGCCCAGGACACUGCCCUGAGGAACUCCUACCCUGCUAUAAAUUGGUACCGGUAGGAUAGCGGCCUUCUUAAAGCAGGUGGGAACCUCAGAUUGAAGCAGGGAGAUGUUAAAUAUGUCUGCAAAUGCCCCCACCAGCUGACCUGCACAGGAUCUAAGGACACGGCCAGAGACUCCUUUCAUGCCAGAUGCUUUCCCUGGAUUCACUCUCCGGAAGACUGAUCCGAGAUCUGCAACGGCGACUGUGGGUACAGGUGCAUUGG